AAUUAUAAUUUCUUUUGCAAUAGCUUAAUAGCAUUGUUAAGUACUGCGGACCAUGUUUAUAGAAUUUUUAGAGUUUGUUUGAAUGGUUUUUGCAGAAUGUUAAUUUUAAGCAUUAUAGCUGAAUUAUCUGAUUGCUUGAGCUUUCUCUGAUUUGUUGGGCCCAGGAGGGGUUGUGUAAUGUUAUUGAAAUGUGGACUUGAGACCUUGAGUUAUAGAAGUAUUGUUUGAGUUACUUUAUAGGUUGGUUAGCUCUUAGGUACAGGAAAAAUUAUAUUGGAUUUUCGAUAUAAAUUAGGA
rnacentral:misc_RNA from 1 species